GGGGAAUUUUCCUGCAAUGGGCGAAAGCCUGACGGAGCAAUACCGCGUGAGGGAGGAAGGCUCUUGGGUUGUAAACCUCUUUUCUCAGGGAAUAAGAACUGAAGGUACCUGAGGAAUCAGCAUCGGCUAACUCCGUGCCAGCAGCCGCGGUAAUACGGAGGAUGCAAGCGUUAUCCGGAAUGAUUGGGCGUAAAGCGUCCGCAGGUGGUUUAUCAAGUCUGCUGUCAAAGAGUUUGGCUCAACCAAAUAAAGGCAGUGGAAACUGACAGACUGGAGUGCGGUAAGGGCAGAGGGAAUUCCUGGUGUAGCGGUGAAAUGCGUAGAGAUCAGGAAGAACACCGGCGGCGAAAGCGCUCUGCUGGGCCGUAACUGACACUGAGGGACGAAAGCUAGGGGAGCGAAUGGGAUUAGAUACCCCAGUAGUC
rnacentral:rRNA from 1 species